AAGCAACACUCUGUGGCAGAUGAUUGAAAAUGUCUGACACAAUUUGAGCUUGCUAUAGCAAGAAAGUCUAACCUAUUCCGGUGUUCUCUUCUCCGUGAGACGAGCCGUUAUAUAGACUCAAACAGU
ensembl:snoRNA SNORA28 small nucleolar RNA, H/ACA box 28